GUCGAACGGUUGGUAGCAAUGCCAAUAGUGGCGCACGGGUGCGUAACGCGUAACCAACCUACCCGAAUCUGGGGGAUAGCCCGCCGAAAGGCGGAUUAAUACCGCAUAAAACUGCAGCUUGGCAUCAGGUAACAGUUAAAGAUUUAUUGGAUUCGGAUGGGGUUGCGUGCCAUUAGCUAGUUGGCGGGGUAACGGCCCACCAAGGCGACGAUGGCUAGGGGAGCUGAGAGGCUGGUCCCCCACACGGGCACUAAGAUACGGGCCCGACUCCUACGGGAGGCAGCAGUAGGGAAUAUUGGGCAAUGGACGAGAGUCUGACCCAGCCAUGCCGCGUGCAGGAUGAAGGCUUUCUGAGUCGUAAACUGCUUUUACCAGGGAAGAAAAAGGGGAUGCGUCCUCUACUGACGGUACCUGGUGAAUAAGCACCGGCUAACUCCGUGCCAGCAGCCGCGGUAAUACGGAGGGUGCAAGCGUUGUCCGGAUUUAUUGGGUUUAAAGGGUGCGUAGGCGGCUGAUUAAGUCUGGGGUGAAAGCCCGUUGCUCAACAACGGAACUGCCCUGGAAACUGGUUAGCUUGAGUACAGACGAGGGUGGCGGAAUGGAUACUGUAGCGGUGAAAUGCAUAGAUAGUAUCCAGAACCCCGAUUGCGAAGGCAGCUGCCUAGACUGUAACUGACGCUGAGGCACGAAAGCGUGGGGAGCGAACAGG
rnacentral:rRNA from 1 species